rnacentral:RNase_P_RNA from 1 species
UGGGUCGGCCGGACGGUCGCGUUGCGGGUGACCGCACCGAGGAACGUCCGGGCUCCACAGGGCAGGGCGGUGGGUAACACCCACCCGGAGCAAUCCGCGAGACAGUGCCACAGAGAGUAGACCGCCCCGGCGACGGGGUAAGGGUGAAAGGGUGGGGUAAGAGCCCACCAGGGCCGUGGUGACACGGCCCGCUCGGUAAACCUCGCCCGGAGCAAGGCCAGACAGAGGAUGACGACGCUGCCCGCCGAGUCCUCGGGUAGGCCGCUGGAGCGGCACGGCAACGUGUCGCCGAGAGAGAUGACCGUCGAAGGGGCGUACGCCCCGGAACAGAACCCGGCGUACAGGCCGGCCCAUUCC